rnacentral:rRNA from 1 species
CCCUUAAACUGGGAUUAGAUACCCCACUAUGCAUAGCCGUAAACCUUGGUAGGCCAACUACACCCCCUACCCGCCUGGAUACUACGAGCAUUAGCUUGAAAUCCGAAGGACUUGGCGGUGCUUUAGAUCCCCCUAGAGGAGCCUGUUCUAUAACCGAUAAUCCUCGUUUAACCUCACCUCUCCUUGUUCAUCCCGCCUAUAUACCGCCGUCGUCAGCUAACCCUGUGAAGGACUAAUAGUUAGCACAAUUGGCACUGCCAAAAACGUCAGGUCGAGGUGUAGCGAAUGGAGGGGGAAGAAAUGGGCUACAUUCUCUUCAACAGAGCAUACGGAUGGUGAACUGAAAAAUCACCUAAAGGUGGAUUUAGCAGUAAGUGGGAAGCAGAGUGUCCCCCUGAAGCCGGCUCUAAAGUGC